CGUGCGCGCGAGUCAAUGGGCGUAUUAUAUAAACCCAAAGGCGAAGCGAAAGCGAAAGUCGAGUUGCGCGUUUCGGCGCGCCGCUCGUCGGUUGGGAAGAUGGGCGACCUCUCGUUUCGCACGAGUAAAGGUUGCCCCGCACUCCCGGGGCGUCUCACCUCGGUAUCGGAGCGUGUCGUCGAUGCGGUUUCGGCCGUAUCGCGCAUUUCGGUAACGGAGACGCACCUCUAGCGCGCACGCUGGGACCCGAAAGAUGGUGAACUAUGCCUGGUCAGGACGAAGUCAGGGGAAACCCUGAUGGAGGUCCGCAGCGAUUCUGACGUGCAAAUCGAUCGUCAGAACUGGGUAUAGGGGCGAAAGACCAAUCGAACCGUCUAGUAGCUGGUUCCCUCCGAAGUUUCCCUCAGGAUAGCUGGCGCUCGCAUCGAGAGAGUCUCAUGCGGUAAAGCGAAUGAUUAGAGCGAAUCGGGGUCGAAACGACCUCUACCUAUUCUCAAACUUUAAAUGUGUGAGAUCUCCGGCUUGCCCGAUUAACGAAGCCGCGAGAUCGGAUCUAGAGUGCCAAGUGGGCCAAUUUUGGUAAGCAGAACUGGCGCUGUGGGAUGAACCAAACGUAAAGUUAAAGCGCCCAAAUCGACGCUCAUGGGAGACCAUGAAAGGCGUUGGUAACUCAGGACAGCAGGACGGU
rnacentral:rRNA from 1 species